rfam:Asian citrus Psyllid, Diaphorina citri - Florida Strain, whole genome shotgun sequence.
ACCAGUUGCGAUAAGAGGUUGAAUGCAUCUGUCUCAAUGAAUCUCUGAAGUUAAGCAACUUUGCGCGUGGUUAAUACAUGGAUGGGUGACAAUCUGGGGAAUCCGCGUGCUGCUGGGU